CACGGGGGGCGUACACUUUUGAGAUCAAAGCAUAGCACUGUGGAUGUGCGAUCCAGUUCUGUUUUCUCCCCCUGAUAAUUGUUAUUUGACUUUUUCUUCUUUAUUACUGGUAUCAGCACGCCUCCCAUUCGGCACAAGUGGUU